rnacentral:tRNA from 1 species
GAGCCGGUAGCUCAGCUGGCAGAGCAGGGGACUUUUAAUCCCAAGGUCGUGGGUUCGAAUCCCACCCGGCUCA